rnacentral:lncRNA from 1 species
CCCAGCCCCCAGCCCUUAGCACUGGAGCCCAGCAACUGGCUGCUCACACCAACCCCCUGGUCCUGCUCAUCCAUAUUCCUUUCUCAAAGGUCUCAGGAAGGAAUGUGUGAACCUUUCUGCUCUGAGGCUCCCCUGAGGAGCUUAGCUGCUCUGUGAGGACCCAUGGUAGGCAAAACCUCCAAGAAUAAAGAAGAGAAAGAGAAGAGAGAGGAGGGAAAGGGAAGAGAGGAAGGUGAGGAAGAAGGAUUCGACGGAUGUGGUAGAGAAGUUUAUGUUUGAACAAGCCUGGGAAUGAGCGUUGUAUUCCGGGAGUCAUUCCUUAUGAUAGGUCUGUUGAAAAUGUUCAUACUUAGAUUUAUGUCGUGCCCACUACAAUGUACUCAGAGAUCACUCCAGUGGCAACCCGUAUAUUUAUCUAUUUAUAGCCUUAUAUUCAUUUAAUUCUCUAAACAUAGCUCUACAUAAAACCAUGACUGAUAUAGCAUUCAUUGGCUUGAGAUAAGUAAAUAUGUGUUUCUUAAUGACAGUAUCAGGAGAGUCUUGCAGAGGAGGGGUCCUGAGUUUGUCAGGUAAGGAGUUGAUCAGCAGAGGAAAUGACCCAGUAGAGUGGUGAAGGUCCUGGGGGAAGACCUCCCAGGAUCAGCAGAAAAGAGAAGAGAAGCUCCCAGUGGGUCCUCAGGAAUCCAGGAAUAACCAGACUGGGAUUGAACCAACCUUGCCUUUCCCAGAGGCAAAGCGACCCCCAGACAAGUGGCCACCCACUGCUUCAAAGAUUCACAGGUUCCCCAGGUAGCAAAGUUGGAGGGACCCUUGGGGUCGCUGUGGGUCAGAAAUGAAACUGUAACUGCCACAAGUCAAAGUCAGGCAGCAGAGUCAAACCGAAAGAGGGGGAGGGGUGCUCCAAGGGUCCAUGCAGGCAGUUCCUCUUGCUAUACCACAGUGGAGAGCCCGGCAGAGCAAAGCCUGAGACUGAACACAUAGACAGACAUGCAUCCUCUGCCUUCCCGCAGCCAUCUCCCAGGGCAUGCAUAGAUGGGCCGGGAAGCUGGGACCAUGGUCAGCUUUAGAGCCCCUCACCCACAUUGUCAAUGGGGAAUUUAAACAGUGACAUAGGAAACUCUGGGACAAAGGUGGUCAGAGAUGAAAGCCAGUGGGACCAAUUAAGACAGAACUGGCAUUUGGCAAAGCUUAUUUCUCUAACUCAAUACGUUGUAAUAAGAAAAGUGUUCUAUAAAAGAGAGUAACAGUGUUACAAUGCCGCUUCCUCAUUAUGGAAUAAGUAAUGUGUAUUUCUUGCUCAACAUUCUGCCAUCUUCUAAUGUUACUAAAUAAAUAGAUGCAUCACAGGGGAGCCCACUGUGCUCUUGUGAAUGCAUAAGUCAGCCUUA